AACUGAGCAUGCGCUCUCCAACGUGCUACAGGUGCUGCGUCUGCGCUUAAAAACCAGACGACGAGAAAGUCAAGAUCAAGCAUGGGAAAAAACUUGAACUUCUGCGGUUCCUGUUCUGUGAAUAAAUAAAAAUUAAGGGCUGGCAAUUCACAAUUCUCAGACUAAGGUUUAUUACAAAAAAAAGGAAGGUUAAUGAAAGAUAUGCACAUGCGAUGUAGGCAGGUAGUAUUCUUCAAAAGGUAGUUUUUAGGUACAACACACACAAACACUAUUUUCCACAGUUCUUUUAUGGAAAAAAUUAUUGGAUCAUCAGAUUUCAAUUACUUUUUGCAUUUGUCAACAAUAUUAAAUAUAUACAAUGGAAAUUAUUAUAGUGAUAAGAAAAGCAAGACUGUUUCAUAAUGAGAAAUCAGGCCACUAUUUAAAAAUAAAAACAAGCAUUUUUUAAAACAUUUAUUUAGAAGUCUUAAUUGCAUCAUGCAGGAUACAAAAAUCAUUAUUAUAAAACUUGUAUAACCAUACAUAAAAGUAAAAUUAAGGUACAAUCACAGAAAAAAUAUAAUUAUAUAACUCAAAGCAACUAUUUUCUGGUAUUGUUUUUAUGUUUUAAAAUCAUUAGAUUACAAAUUUCUUAUAGCUGUAAUCUGCACAGAAAUUAAAGAUAAAAAUUAUUCCUGGUGAUAACAGUUCCAUCUUUCCCGAUUCAUAAUGUCAAAUCUGUUGCACAUCAAAACGAAUAAAAUAAUUCUAGAGCAAUCAUGUGCCCUGUGCUACCACACCAAAAAAAAAAAAAAAUUUUCAUACCCAUUCAUGCCAGAUA